AGCGAACGCUGGCGGCAUGCUUUACACAUGCAAGUCGAGCGGACGUACCGGUGCUUGCUCCGGGUGGGGAUGGCGCACGGGUGAACGUGCACUUCAACGUGUCCUGCCCUGGGGAACUUGGGCUAAUACCAGAUACUCCCUUACGGGGAAAGAUUUAUCGGAAAAGGAGCGACCCGCGGCUGAUUAGCUCGUUGGUGAGGUAAUGGCUCACCGCUUGUACGAUGGGGUAAAUGGUCUCCAAGGAUGAUCUCCCUCACUGGGACUGAAACAUGAUCCACACUCCUGCGGGAGGCACCCGUGGGGAAUAUUGGACAAUGGGCGCAAGCCUGAUCCUUCCAUGCCGCGGGGGUGAUGAAUGCCCUCGGGCUGUAAAGCCCUUUCAGGGCUUAAGAUUAUGACGGUCCCCCCAUAAGAACCCCCGGCUACCUUCCUGUCCCCCGCACCGGUGAUACGACUGGGGCUAGAGUUGCUCGGUAUUUCCGUGCCUACAGCCCACGUAAGCCGCUUUCUGCAUGCGGUGUGAAAUCCUGGAGCUUAUCUCCCGAGCUGCCUUCGAUUCUGGAGAGCUAUAGUCCAGGAGAGGUGAGUGGAACUGAAUUGUGUAGAGAUGAAAUUCGUAGAUAUGCAGGAAGAACACCAGUGGCGGACACGGCUCAGUGCCCACAUAGAGACUCUGACAUGAGAGAGUGUGGAGCGCACACAAGAUGAGAUCCCGUGAUUGUACACCCUGAAAACGAUGGAUGCUAGCCGUGGAGAAGCUUGUUUGUCAGUGGCGCAGCUAACGCUUUAAGCAUCCCGCCUGGGGAGUACGGUCGCAAGAUUAAAACUCAAAGGAAUUGACGGGGGCCCGCACAAGCGGUGGAGCAUGUGGUUCAAUUCGAAGCAACGCGCAGAACCUUACCAGCCCUUGACAUGUCUCGUAUGGAGACCAGAGACGGUUUCCUUCCCGCAAGGGGCGAGAACACAGGUGCUGCAUGGCUGUCGUCAGCUCGUGUCGUGAGAUGUUGGGUUAAGUCCCGCAACGAGCGCAACCCUCGGCCUUAGUUGCCAUCAUUUAGUUGGGCACUCUAAGGCGACUGCCGGUGAUAAGCCGGAGGAAGGUGGGGAUGACGUCAAGUCCUCAUGGCCCUUACGGGCUGGGCUACACACGUGCUACAAUGGCGGUGACAGAGGGAUGCGAAGGAGCAAUCCUUGGCAAAUCUCAAAAAGCCGUCUCAGUUCGGAUUGGGGUCUGCAACUCGACCCCAUGAAGUUGGAAUCGCUAGUAAUCGCAGAUCAGCACGCUGCGGUGAAUACGUUCCCGGGCCUUGCACUCACCGC
rnacentral:rRNA from 1 species